rnacentral:lncRNA from 10 species
AGCAACGCUGGGCAUGCAGCUCAACAUCCUCUGAGACUCUGUCCUCAUUUUGCGAAAUUAGGGACAACCAGACCUAUCUUCCUGUCCUAUCAUAAGAAUUAAAGAAGACAUGGGAGUAUUCCGUAUACAGGGAAACAGGAAAAGGACCCAUCUUAUUCCAAAAGGUGGACUGGCAUUCUAGCUCAUCCUGGGUCUUUCUUUGUCUGGUUGGCUGCAUUUGGAAGGACCUUGCUGAACUUGACCUCUGGUUAUGCUCUGAAACUGUUCUCUUAAAAAGCUACCAUGGAGUGGUCCUGCCAGCCCUGGCAAUGUCUCACCACCUGUGCAUCAGUGCCAGCCAAGUUGGAAGAUAGGAUGGAUGCCUGCACACUUAAAUUUUUAAUUGUUGACAUCUCUAAGUCUGGAAGUAAUUUUGUCAAUAAUGUAUUAGAGUUACAUAGCUAGAUUAUUCUACAGUAAGUUUAUGGGGUAUACUCAGUUUAUUUCAUUCAAUAAAUUGUAUAAUAAACACAGAUCCAGAAAUGGUGUUGAGUGAUGAGAUUAUAUUGAUGAAAAGACACAGUGAUUGCCUUCAAAGAGAUCAUAUUCCGGUAUGACAAUAUUUAAGAAUUGUAAUAUAUUGUGUUAAGUUUCAUAAUAGGAGUUUGCAGUUUUUGUCACCUUCUCACCUUUCUCACUUGCCUCAGAUAAGAGACAAAUCAUAGUCUCCAGUAGAUUCGCUAUAUUUGUUAUAAUUGAUUAGAAGACUUGAUAAUGAGAGAAGUCCAAACAUGCUACUUUUCAUGAGCUUUG